UGUGGGGACGCAUGUGGAAAGCAUAAGCCGGGAAUGGAAAGACCGGUACAAGCGAGGUAGGUGUGUGACAGGCAAAUCCGUCAUAUAAGCCGAAGACGUGAUGUGGAGCGAAAUUUAGUAGUGAAGUAUGUGAGCCAUGUGCCGAGAAAAGCCGCUAUUGUUUUAUAUGUGCCCGUACCGUAAACCGACACAGGUGGAUGAGGAGAAAAUCCUAAGGCCGACGGAAGAAGCAUUGUUAAGGAAUUCGGCAAAAUGACCCCGUAACUUCGGGAGAAGGGGUGCCCACUGAAUGGUGGGCCGCAGAGAAUAGGCUCAAGCAACUGUUUAGCAAAAACACAGGUCUAUGCGAAACCGAAAGGUGAAGUAUAUGGGCUGGCGCCUGCCCGGUGCUGGAAGGUUAGGAGGAGAGGUUAGCGUAAGCGAAGCUUUGAAUUUAAGCCCCAGUAAACGGCGGCCGUAACAAUAACGGUCCUAAGGUAGCGAAAUUCCUUGUCGGGUAAGUUCCGACCCGCACGAAAGGCGUAAUGAUUUGAGCACUGUCUCGACAAUGCAUCCGGUGAAAUUGAAGUACCAGUGAAGAUGCUGGUUACCCGCGCCAGGACGGAAAGACCCCAUGGAGCUUUACUCCAGUUUGAUACUGGGAUUCGGUACUGCACGUACAGGAUAGGUGGGAGACUGAGAACUAUGGACGCCAGUCUGUAGGGAGUCGCUGUUGGGAUACCACCCCUGUAGUACUGGGUUUCUAACCAUCUGCCGUGAUCCGGCAGUGGGACAAUGUCAGGCGGGGAGUUUGACUGGGGCGGUCGCCUCCGAAAGGGUAUCGGAGGCGCUCAAAGGUUCCCUCAGAAUGGUCGGAAACCAUUUGAAGAGUGCAAAGGCAGAAGGGAGCUUGACUGCGACACCGACGGGUGGAGCAGGUACGAAAGUAGGACUUAGUGAUCCGGUGGUAUAAAGUGGGAUUGCCAUCGCUCAACGGAUAAAAGCUACCCUGGGAUAACAGGCUUAUCACUCCCAAGAGUUCACAUCGACGGAGUGGUUUGGCACCUCGAUGUCGGCUCAUCGCAUCCUGGGGCUGUAGCAGGUCCCAAGGGUUGGGCUGUUCGCCCAUUAAAGCGGUACGCGAGCUGGGUUCAGAACGUCGUGAGACAGUUCGGUCCCUAUCCGGCGCGGGCGGAGGAUAUUUGAGAGGAGCUGUCCUUAGUACGAGAGGACCGGGAUGGACGGACCACUGGUGUAUCUGUUGUCGACCAACGGCAUGGCAGAGUAGCCAAGUCCGGAAGGGAUAAACGCUGAAGGCAUCUAAGCGUGAAGCCCCCCUCAAGAUGAGAUAUCCCUCCUUCGGGAGUAAGACCCCUUGAAGACUACAAGGUAGAUAGGGCAGAGGUGGAAGUGUGGCAACACAUGGAGCUGACUGUUACUAAUAGGUCGAGGGCUUGAUU
rnacentral:rRNA from 1 species